UCUCACUUUUAUCUACAGAUUGAAGUUUCUUCCAAGUAUAUAUUUGUAUCAUAUUCCAUAUACAUUUAAUUAUGAUCCCAUCAGAGGCUACAACAACUCACUACUUUGUCUCCGAAAAUCCUUCACCUCAGCCUCUUGACUUCAACUUCAUGCACAACAAUUUACCAUCACUUCAGUUCAGUAGAUUCUUAACAAAUGUACCAGAUUAUCCAACCUUUCUUCAUGUUCAUGACUUUAACAAUCUGUCUCUAUUUUGCAUCAGUAAUAAUUCUACCUCUGAUGAUCGACGAGAGAAAGCAGAGAAGGAUGAUAUCUAAUCGGGAAUCCACAAGAAGAUCAAGGUUGAGGAAAAAUAGACAUCUUGAUCGAUAAAUUGGACCAUGUCUCGAAAUGUCAUGAAAAAAAUCCUUCAAGGAAACUCUCAAGGAAACUAAAAAAAGAAUUGUUAAUGAAGGACAAACAGAAUAUAAAGGGAGUAUAUUUUGUUUUUGCAUUCUAUUCUGCCAGCUGAAAAGCCGGUUACAACUGAUAUGAUUUUUUUAAUUUUUUUUUUUUUUUUGCAGUCAAUGAUAACAGCAAGUACUUUACUUUGAUAAAUGACAUACCACUGUGAAAUGAAAUAGUUGAAUUUUAGUCAGUAGGUUGCUCAGACUACCAACAGUAUGGUCUAACCAUGCUCGAUGCCCUGUUGAUUUUGACGUAGCCACCAACGUGGGAGCUCCGGCCAACUUCCACAAGAGCAGAGCUUCAAUCUGAUGUUAAAAAGGUAAAUUCAAAGAAAGGGUUGUUCAGCUAAUAGUAAUAGUUCAAGCCGAGCUAGUACAAACAUUUCAUCAGAGAAAAAGUAUCCCCUCCAAAUGACUACAUGAGCGUGUGAGAUCUCAUUAUUGGAGGAUCCAAUAGACAUCCAAGCAACAUAGCAGAUAAGUUGGUUCAAGGCACAGCAAGUAUCUAAAAAUAAAACAAGAAAAGUUAGUUGAGUUAAUCAAUAGUCAAAAGAGUGUAACUAAUCAAGGCAAGAAAUUACCUUCUCCACAUUAACCAGCACU